ensembl:lncRNA
UUAUUUAUUUACUUUUUUAUUUAUUUACUAAUUUAUUUACUUAUUUAUUUUUUUACUUUUUUAUAUGUGUCUUUCAAAUAUAAUACAUAUUGUUUAUUUUACUUUAUGUUUUUUAGGGGAUUUAGAAAUAACAAUAAGUAAUAUAUUAUAAAAAAAAAAAUACAAAUUAACUAAGCUUUGCACAACGUAGAACAAAUUAGUGCUUACGUAUAUUGACAAAUACAAGAAGCAGAAAUCGUUUUAGUAACAACAUCACUAGGAGGUAUAAAGACAUCAUUUUUUUCAUCAUUAAGAGCAUCCAACUUAUUAAAUUGUAAAAAAUAUUUAUAUUUUAUAAUAGACACAAACAGAGACACAGGAACAGCAAAAAACUUAAAAGAUACAGAAUUGUUUAAUAAAUGGAAAGAUGAUAAUUUACUUGCUUCGAAUGAAAAUGGAAUUAUUUUACCUCAAAUUUUAAUUGAUGGUGUCUCAAUAGGAAAUGAUAUAACAUUACAAAACUUGGAGGACGAAGGUCUUUUGGAUUUAAUUAUAUCUAGACAAAAAUGUCCCAAAUGCUUGAGUGAUAAAUCUAACACUGAUAUUACUUGUCCUAAUUGUAAUUGUGAUUACGUUAGUUUGAUUUCAGAUGAAUUAAUUAAAACUAAUGGUGUAAUCAGAUUAUUACAAGGAGAAUUAUAUAAUGCAGAUAAUGAAUUUAAUGAAAACGAGGAUUAUAUUUAUAAUUAAAAUAUAUAUAAUAUGACAUUUUGAAACAUAUAAAAAAAAAAAAAAAAAUACAUAUCUUAUGUAUAUAAUCGUUUUAACCUAUUAACACAUUUUUUUUUAGAUUAUAACCAAAGUAUACUGCAAAAAUCAUUUAUACAAAAAAAAUAAAAUAAAAAUAAUAAAGUUUAAUUUAUAAAUA